CUGCUGGUGAUGUGAAGCUAUGCACCAGGGGUCGUUGGAACAGGUAGCGGAAUGACCCGCACCCUUCCGUCCCCUUUCCACAACGCCAAAAUGGGACCAGUGCUCUGUGGGAUAGCUGUCCACAAUGCACCACUCACAACAGCGCUGCAACUGGUGCAAGUGUGGACACACUG